UAUCAAUCUAUGAUGCUGUCACAAGAGCGUCCCUGAAAGCACACCCCAAGGCUACCUACCAAGAGGUAGAUGACAAAAUAGCAGACGCUCUCAAACAUGCACCAGCUCGGCUCAAGAGUAAGAGAAAGGAGCGGGUCGAGGAAGAGACUGUGGAUGAGGAUGGAGCAGCAGCACCUGAAUAAACAUAACAUAGUUAUUCACUUUUAGCUUUAAGCAGUUUUACAGUUCUUGAUUGGAGUGCAGUGUUCAUGUUUUUACUGACUUGUUAUUUUGUGAGCUUA